UUUCGUAAUUUGGAUAUGGAGCGUGGACUCUUAAAUAACGGAGCCGUCGGCGACCGAGUGGAGGGCAGUUUUCAACCAUCAGAUUCACCUUUUUAUCCUAGAGCACCGCAACAGCCUGUCUCAGCAGCAUACCCAACUCAUCCCCAGUUCGAUGCUAAUUAUGGAUAUUAUUCUGUGAACCAGGAAAGCCCAUCUCAGUUUGGAGACAGCUAUGCAGCAGCAGUAAAUCCAUACCAAGCAGCAGCUCCCCACCAUGGAAUGAGUUACAACAACCCACAGCAGUCCCUUUAUGGCUCGGCGUUGUCGCCUGCCGCCAGCGCUCAUUAUGGCUCCUCCAACCAUGGUGGGGCCCAGUAUCCAGGUGGUGGGGGCGGGGGUCAACAGUGGCCUGGUGGGCCACAGCAACAAUUGGGAAGUUCACCUACUCCAUCUCCUGCCCACACUCCCCCAGCUGCUACCGCACAGUACCACCAUCACCACCGACAAUGGCCAGCCCAAGGACCAGCGACUGGAGCCCAAGGCCCUCCUGGGUACUAUCCUCGAGGGGCUGGUCCAGGCCCUAUGCCACAACAUGCACAUGUUGGUGGUGCUUGGGCUAAAUCAGGUCAUGGUCAUGGCCAGCCUGGUGUGGGUGUAGGUGUAGGUGCUGCAGGUGCUACUGGACCCCUCUUCAGUUUACAGCUAUUGGUGAACCAAGAAAUGAACCGUGCUGCAUUAGCUUCAGCAGCUGCAGCUGGGGUUGGUGUUCCGGUCGCAGGAUCUCCAGGAGCUGGCGUUCCCCCAUCGCACCAGCACCAACAGCCAGUGCCCAGUGUUGUAGCAGAGGGAAGUGUUGAUUUAAGUGCUGACAGUUACCGCCGCCCUCUUCCUCUUACUCACAGACCACAGCAGUCACAAUUACAGCAGCAGCCCUUGCCACUUAACGGGGAGGUUAGCAAAGAUACGGUAAGUGUCAUUGCCCAGACGCCACGAAAGCUGACAAUGCCCUCUCAACUUACCCCAAUGUCACCCGCAACACUGGAACCAAGUCGGCCAUCACCAGAAAUUACUUCGGAUAGAGGAGGUGGUGCAGCUAUCAGUGGAGACAAACACGAACCUGCAGUAGCACCUGCGACGUCAAGUCCGUCAGUUCCCAGCGUUGUUAGUGGUUCUGCUGUAAUGGCGCCUGUUGCAGCACCAGCACCAGCACCUGCUCCAGCACACACACCAACGCCACCACCUCCUCCAGAAUCCCCUGCCAGUCGUCACUCAGAUGAUGGCCACCAAUUGCCACCACCAGGAGUGCAGCAGCAACCACAACCGAGACCAUCACCUUCACCGUCACCAGCCCCUACAUCUUCCAAAGAUCUUGGGCCAGUCUCACCUGUGCGAUCUCCGAAGAGUGGCACAAUAAAACGCACGAAGAAAGUUGAUUCAAUCCUGGAAAACCUUGUUGAGAGUGGUACCAAGAAGGGGAGUGCUCAGAGCACUAGCUCAGGUUCCGAACAUUCUCCACAAACUCCUGUCAGCACGGUUGUUGUGGCUCCUGCAUCCGUAAUUGUCUCUCCAGCAGUCACAAGUGAAGAUAGUGGUGGUGGUCGUGAUGCUCAGUCCCCGUCACCCGGUGAUUCUGCUGUUCCACAGAGGCCUGCUAGUAGAGCACAUGAAGAUGGCACUACAUCACCUACAUUCAAUGGGAGCACAGAUGAAGACAAUGGCAAGCCAAGACGGAAACGGAAACUUGACAAACCUGUCAGAGUUGCAAAGACAUCCAGUGAUACAGAGAGUAAUAGUAACAGCUCAAAAGCACCAGGAUCAGAAGAUACUGUGACAGCUCCAGUUGACAUGCCUGAUAGUUCAGAGAAACUGAAAGAAGCUGUGAAAGUGGAGCCCGUGGUCACUGAAAGUGAAACUGUAACCAAAUUGACUGGGCUACUGUCUGAUAAUUCUGAAAGUGAUAUAAAGAGGGAAGAGGACAGUAAACCUGCAGAAAAAGAAGUGACAAAAGAAGCUGUUAACAAUAUUGUAGCUGCACCCUUGGAGAAUAAUGACUCUGUAGAAUCAUCUGUGAAAAGUGAAAGUGUUCCACAAAAGAAUGAUAAUGCAGAUGACCUCCUUUCCGUUCUCAACUCUGAUAGUGUGAAAUCUGAGCCAAAAUUAGAACCAAAAAGUACUAUAAUUGAUGUUGAAACUGAACUUGAGAAAAUGUUUGCAGGAAUUGUAGAGGAAGAUAAUAUUUCUUCAGAUACUGUGAAGGCGGAAGUUCCAUCAUCAUCUGUUACAGAUUCUUCCACAAUGGCAGCAAAGGCAUUAGAAUGUUUAAGUGGUUCUGAAAACACUUCUCCUUCUGUGACUGCAACUCCAGCUCCACCACCACCGCCACAAGAUACAAAACCACGAGUUUCAAAACGAGGCCGACCCAAGGGUUCACGAAAUAGUUCACAUCGUUCUUCCGAUAAUGUCCUAGGCCUCUCUUCAUCAGAGAAUACACCCAAGAAAAAGAAAAGGAAACAGGCAGGACGGGUUAGUGGGAUAAGUGAUGAAGGGCUGUCAUCACACAAGAAAAAGGUGAAGCGACCAAAACUUGAAGCGGGUGCAACUUGUGACAGCCCCAUACCUUUGGCAGCCGGAAGAAGACGGGGCCGUGAUGCAAGUGGUGUUGCAACUGACAGUGGUAGUAAUGCCAGCAGUGGGAGGUCACGAGGCCCUGUGGUUCAUCUAGAAGGACCCCGUGACAGUCCCUACAGUGUUACUGUAGUUAAUGGCCCAGCUCGUUUGGAUGAUGAUGAAGGCAAUGACAGGAAAACAUCAAUAGGUUCCAGUCGUCGCAAGAAUUCAUCCUACCAUAAUGAUCUUGAGUACAGGGGUAAAGGUGGUGGUGGGCUAUUCAGCAGCACAUUGUCGGCACGAUAUGAUGCGCACACAUCAGAUCCAACGUGGAUUUGUGUUUUUUGUAAGAGCGGCCCACAUUCGGCACUUGGUAGUGGUGAUCUCUUUGGUCCUUAUCUCGUAUCUCGACCAGAACGAGAGUUGCCUGCAUCAGCAGAUGAGAAAGAUAUAGUUGAGGAGCAGUCACGCGGUGGCAGUGGUACACGUGGCAAACGAAGUCUUCGCACUGCACACAUGGUUGAACAUUUCCAUCAAAAAAUGUCAAAGAAGGCAAAACGAUCACAUUCAGUUGAUGGAAGUGUUGCUGUAGCUGGAAUGACACCAGUUGGUAAGGACGAUAGUUGCUACGAGGUGUGGACACAUGAAGAAUGUGCGGUAUGGGCAGCUGGUGUACAUUUAGUGGGUACACGUAUUGUUGGACUGCAGGAAGCUGUUUGGGGUGCUGUACGCACUACAUGUACCAAAUGUGGUGAGGGAGGUGCAAGCUUGGGUUGUGUACGUAGAGGCUGUGACCUGAGGGCUCAUUAUGGCUGUGCUCAGGACAUGAGUUGGUUAUUGGAAGAGGAAAAUUACGUUGCCAAGUGCACACAGCACAAGAUUACAAGCAAGGGGAGAUGAUUGCACUGGGAUGGAGGCAUGAGGAUGCAUGGUAUAAAAUAGAAACUCAUAUUUUAGUGAUGAUGGAAUUAUGCAGAAUGAAAGACUGUUACUCAAGAUUUCUGAUUGUUUUUAAAGAUAUACCUGUUGCACUGUAAAUACUGAAAGUUUGUAAAAGCAGACUGAAAUCUGAAGAGUGUUGGUAAAAAGAGGACUGUAAUUAUGGGUCUGAAGACUUAGUGAACAUAACAUGCAAUGGACACUGUGCUGAUUAUGAUGAACUGGUCAUUCUCACAAAGUUCCCUGUGAAAUUGUAAUUUUUAUGAGUGAAUGUUGUAUGACACCCAACUUUAUUUUCAUUUCAUUAAUAUUUUCCUCAUAUCCUGCAGAAGAUGAAGAGAAACGGCUACAAGAACAACUUGUAAAUAUGGUGGAGUUUCCUCUUCAGAAAACGUUCUUCCAACUUAAUUGCAGGUACCAAAGUGUAAAUUCAACUUGAUGUACCUGGGUUCAAGAUGAAUGUUGUAGAAUGAAAAACACCAAGUGUAAAUGGAGCACUCCAGAUUAGUGAAACUGUUGUUCCUCAUACUGUUUAUGUAAUAUUUUGAGUCAUUACAUAACUACAGGCGUCAGUGUUCCAAAGGAUUACUUUCCACAUGUGUCCUUUUACAAUUAACUGAACAGUGGAAUUGCACAGAAAGUGUGUGAGUGUUGAGUGUUCGUUAUUACACAUCUGUCUGUCUACUGUCUUACGAGAUUUAUUGUGCGCCUUCUGAGUUAAAAUGAUUCUGAAAAAUGUGGAGAAAAGUAAAUGUAAUCUUCUGCAAUAUUGGUCUAUAAGAAUGAUUCUUACAUUAUUUUUGUAGGUGGAGUGAAGUAAAGAUAAAACAUAAUUCAUGUACAUAUAUACUAAGUUCAUUUGGUAUACAUCCUUUUAGUUUUAAAUGUGUUUCCUUAAAUUCAGUACUUCUGUUGGGCAUUUGUUUAGAACAUUAAUUUCUAAUAAAGUAUGCUUGACAACUAUUGCCAGUUGUAGACCAGUUUUAAAAAAUAUGUGGUGAAGCUUAUGUUAGUGGAUGUUUGUGUCAUAGUUUACAUACAAAAUUAUUUUAUUUCUGAAUGUAUUUGCACAAAUGUAAUGCAUAUACUUUUAUUUUUCCUACUUAAAGAUGUAGUAUAUGAUCUAGUCUCAUAAUUGUGUUAAUUAUCAGAGAAUAUUAAUUAAACUGUGUUCUACUUUUGUGUGUCGUUACAGAUUAUGGAACUAUUUGUAUUUUCCACAGAUAUUUUCUAGUUAGUGCAGUUAUUUUUCCUUUUAUGUAAUUAAGUCAAUUUUAUUCGUACAUUAAAAUAUACAAAAUAUCCUAGACAUGAUAAAGCAGAACUACAUAAUGACCAAAGUUGUGGAAGAAUGUUGCAGAAGACUUUUUUUUAAAAAAACUUGCAUUUUAUCUUUAAGUUUAGUUUAUAUGUUGAGGAUGAGGCUAUCUACUCUUUUUACUCUUUAAAACUGUUUUAUUUGGAAAGUAUAUAUAUCCUGCUAUGUUGGAUAAAGUGAGUUUAUACAUUGUUUUAAUUUUCAAAGGCUGAGUUUUAUCUUAAAACUAUAUUAUACAGGGAAAGAAGUAUACUUUGUCAUUUUGUACUUAACAGUUUCUUUUUCCUCUUCAACAGGAAAAAAGAGUACUGUCUUACAGAAACAUCACUAAUUCUCAGGCUUGCGUGCUUCAGCAAUGAAAUGUUGAAACAUAAUAUUGCUAUUCAGUAAUGACUUGGGCAGUAAAACUAUGAAUAAGAAAUUCUACCUUGAGGCUUGGCUGGUGAGAAAUUCUGACAGUGACUUGAAAAAGUUAGUAGACCAACAAACUGUAAGAUAAAGGUGGUCCAGAAAAAUAAUUAUCAACUGAACAAGUUAAUUAUAAUUACUUAGCAUUGUCAGCUCCCAGUUAUUAAUUUGUGUCAUGUGGACAGUAUUGCUGGGCUAUCAGCAAAGAACUUAAAAAUUUCAUGAGGAGAUCCCAGUUUUGACUGAGAUUGUAAUGAAACUUGGGGGAUUCGUGUAAUUUUAGUCAUGAUGUCUAAGGAAACUUUUACUACAGUAUUUGGAAAAGAUAAGUUAUAUUCUGUCACUUAUUUUUAUUAUAUUCAGUGGCAUACUUUCUAAAUGAAGUUUCAGUCAAAAUUAGUUGAAUGCAUUUGUGUUAGAAGUAAAAUAAAAAAUGGAAAUAAUUCUUGUUCAUCUUUGUUGUAUAGAUACUUUUACAUUAAAUGUAAAUUAUGUAA